AGCGAACGCUGGCGGCAGGCUUAACACAUGCAAGUCGAGCGGGCACUUCGGUGUCAGCGGCAGACGGGUGAGUAACACGUGGGAACGUACCCUUUGGUUCGGAAUAACGCUGGGAAACUAGCGCUAAUACCGGAUACGCCCUUUUGGGGAAAGGCUUGCUGCCGAAGGAUCGGCCCGCGUCUGAUUAGCUAGUUGGUGGGGUAAUGGCCUACCAAGGCGACGAUCAGUAGCUGGUCUGAGAGGAUGAUCAGCCACACUGGGACUGAGACACGGCCCAGACUCCUACGGGAGGCAGCAGUGGGGAAUAUUGGACAAUGGGCGCAAGCCUGAUCCAGCCAUGCCGCGUGAGUGAUGAAGGCCUUAGGGUUGUAAAGCUCUUUUGUCCUGGACGAUAAUGACGGUACCGGAAGAAUAAGCCCCGGCUAACUUCGUG
rnacentral:rRNA from 1 species